GGAUGUAGCUCAGUGGUAGAGUGUUUGCCUAGCAUGUGUGAGGCACUGGGUUCGAAUCUCAGCACCA
rnacentral:tRNA from 1 species